rnacentral:rRNA from 1 species
AUUGAACGCUGGCGGCAGGCUUAACACAUGCAAGUCGAGCGAGCGGCAGACGGGUGAGUAAUGUCUGGGAAACUGCCUGAUGGGGGGGGAUAACUACUAGAAACGGUAGCUUAUACCGCAUACCAUCAGAUGUGCCCAGAUGGGAUUAGCUAGUAGGUGGGGUAAUGGCUCACCUAGGCGACGAUCCCUAGCUUUGCUGAGAUGAUGACCAGCCACACUGUAACUGAGACACGGUCCAGACUCCUACGGUAGGCAGCAGUGGGGAAUAUUGCACAAUGGGCGCAAGCCUGAUGCAGCCGUGCCGCGUGUGUGAAGAAGGCCUUCGGGUUGUAAAGCACUUUCAGCGAGGAGGCGUUACUCGCAGAAGAAGCACCGGCUAACUCCGUGCCAGCAGCCGCGGUAAUAC